ACGCUGGCGGCAGGCCUAACACAUGCAAGUCGAGCGGAAACGACAACAUUGAAUCUUCGGAGGAUUUGUUGGGCGUCGAGCGGCGGACGGGUGAGUAAUGCCUAGGAAAUUGCCUUGAUGUGGGGGAUAACCAUUGGAAACGAUGGCUAAUACCGCAUAAUGCCUACGGGCCAAAGAGGGGGAUCUUCGGACCUCUCGCGUCAAGAUAUGCCUAGGUGGGAUUAGCUAGUUGGUGAGGUAAUGGCUCACCAAGGCGACGAUCCCUAGCUGGUCUGAGAGGAUGAUCAGCCACACUGGAACUGAGACACGGUCCAGACUCCUACGGGAGGCAGCAGUGGGGAAUAUUGCACAAUGGGCGAAAGCCUGAUGCAGCCAUGCCGCGUGUAUGAAGAAGGCCUUCGGGUUGUAAAGUACUUUCAGUUGUGAGGAAGGGUGUGUAGUUAAUAGCUGCACAUCUUGACGUUAGCAACAGAAGAAGCACCGGCUAACUCCGUGCCAGCAGCCGCGGUAAUACGGAGGGUGCGAGCGUUAAUCGGAAUUACUGGGCGUAAAGCGCAUGCAGGUGGUUCAUUAAGUCAGAUGUGAAAGCCCGGGGCUCAACCUCGGAACUGCAUUUGAAACUGGUGAACUAGAGUGCUGUAGAGGGGGGUAGAAUUUCAGGUGUAGCGGUGAAAUGCGUAGAGAUCUGAAGGAAUACCAGUGGCGAAGGCGGCCCCCUGGACA
rnacentral:rRNA from 1 species